rnacentral:rRNA from 1 species
GACGAACGCUGGCGGCAUGCCUAACACAUGCAAGUCGAACGAAGGCUUCGGCCUUAGUGGCGCACGGGUGCGUAACGCGUGGGAAUCUGCCCUUUGGUUCGGAAUAACAGCUGGAAACGGCUGCUAAUACCGGAUGAUGACGAAAGUCCAAAGAUUUAUCGCCAGAGGAUGAGCCCGCGUUGGAUUAGGUAGUUGGUGGGGUAAAGGCCUACCAAGCCGACGAUCCAUAGCUGGUCUGAGAGGAUGAUCAGCCACACUGGGACUGAGACACGGACCAGACUCCGACGGGAGGCAGCAGUGGGGAAUAUUGGACAAGGGGCGCAAGCCUGAUCCAGCAAUGCCGCGUGAGUGAUGAAGGCCCUAGGGUUGUAAAGCUCUUUUACCCGGGAAGAUAAUGACUGUACCGGGAGAAUAAGCCCCGGCUAACUCCGUG